rfam:Alcanivorax dieselolei B5, complete genome.
GGGGCCGACAAGGUUUCGACGCCGGUAUUGAACUCUGUGGUGCAUGCCGAGAAGGUCACGAGUCUCGUAAAACAUUUGUGGCAUCUUUAAAGUAAUCGCAAACGACGAUACUUACGCACUGGCGGCCUAAGGCCUGCCUACGGUCAAGCGACCCAGCCUGUGGGGAAGCGCGACCGGCAUCGCUACACAGGCUCGCAGCAAAGUCCGCCCCGGGCCGCGCUGUUAAAACUUAAAGGGGCUCGGCUCUUUCGUCCUGCCCGUCGGGCUGAAAGGGCCUAAAUCAAUAGACACGGCUAAGCAUGUAGAUCUGCAGGCGGAUUGCUGACGGACGCGGGUUCGAUUCCCGCCGGCUCCACCA